UGGGCCCGGCUCUAUUGAGAUUGAGGGAGAGAGAGAGAGAGUUGAAUUCUGUCGUGGCCGUGAAAGAGGGAGAUUGUUGCCAACAUCGCUCCUCGUCUCCGCCAUUGUUUGGAGCCCACAGUGUGGACGAGGGUGUUCGCACGAAAGCAUCGAUCGAGUACAAGGAACCGUCGGGCGCAUGGUCAAUCAGAGUGCCCAGAAUUCCUCACCGGCGUGAAUCACCGCCACCGAAUCCGCCUUGCGCCGCGGCUGGGCAUCUCUACACCUCUAUCUUUGGUAAGAAUCCCCUCCAUUAGUCCAUGUUCGCCUCAUUUUCGAUUAGUGAUGUGGAAUUGAUGUCUUGUGCUUGGGUCGCUCGGGAUUCCUCAAUGACGGUAGGGAUUUGCGGAAGUUCUGCCAGGAAUCGUGGAGGAAAUCCCUACGUAUACUAUCCAUGGAAAUUGCCCCCACUUGAUUCGUGGGGCUUGUAAUGUGGUGUAGCACAGAUCAGUCGUGGAUUUGGGGCGUUGGGUCACCGGGAUGCCGCACGUCGGUGAGCAUCGUCGUCGCCUAGGUGAAAACCAUUGAGGUCUGGCGUCAAGAGGUAGGAGAACAGUCCUUGAUCAUUGGAUUGAAUAGGUACAAUUCAGAUUAGAUCACAGGACACCGCUUCAAGGUACUCAACGUGGUCAUUGGUCGAUGAUCUAAGGGCUCCGGUUAGAUAAUGGUGUAGGUCGUUAUGGUCCGUUGAUCACGGGUCGAAUGGCUAUUACUAGAUACUGGUUCAGGGGAUGAGACCUUUUAAUCUGGGGCAUCAGAUCAGGACCCUACAGCCAGGAGGGCGCAUAGGGCUACCAUUGUGGCGUUUUCUUUAAGAACCCCUGUUAUUUUAACAUAUUAAUACGCCAUCCAUUUCUAGUAGUAAAGAAAAUAUAAAUAAAUGAGGAAUUUGUAGAUAUGCCCAUGGACCAUGUUUUAAGGUAUUAACAUAGUAAUAAAAUAAAUAGAAACUUCACUGGUCCAUAACUUAAUCGUUUUAACCCUGAUUUGAUCCGUUCAAAUUGUGCUAGCUUUGUAAUAAAAUUGUAUAUUCCUGUUAAUCACUAUGACAUGCCUAGGAUAAUUUGAUUGGACCUAAUAGGUUACCCUAGUUUUAUCUACUUUAUACCUUGCUUACCAUUGAACUAUUGGGUAGUAUCUGCUAUUGCUCUAUGUGGUUUUGGGUGCUAUGAUACAUGUUGGGGACUUGCUCUCAAAUGCUAAGAGUUAAGAACAAGGCAACAUAAAAAGUGUUAAAUGUUAAAGCCCUUCGUCCUUAAAGACAUUAUGUCCCUUCGGAUAUAAUGAAUUCUGGACGAAGGUCACGAAGGAAAAGACCUUCAUAAGUUCGAUAGAUGAUGAGGAAGAACACAUAUAUGAAAUACGAAUAAUAAUACAGAUAUUAUUAUCAACUUAUUUUUAUUAUCAAAUUUGUAAUAACGAAUUAUAAAUGUACCUUCGGAUUGAUGAAAAGUAAAGGUACAUGUGUGAUGCGGAAAGCAAAUGCCAAGUCAGCGUGAACAGUACGGGAGUACUGUUCAUCUAUUUAUAGGCACGGGACGCAGCCCGUGUAAAAUUACAUUAAUGCCCUUUACAUUUAUCAAUAACUCUAUAGUAAUUCUUCGAGGUCUAAUUUGGCCUUUCAUCUUUAAGUCGGUUCCCCUUUUCUGCUGUCAAGCCGAAGCUUUUCUGUACAUAGCUUCGUGAUCGUCUUAUCCUUCGUCAUGAUCGCCUUCCGUCCCAGUCAAGCUUCGUCUUGACCAUGCUCUUGUAUACCCGUAACCUGAUUCCAAAGAUACCUGCUCGCAUAUUUCACUUGGAAAACAUUGUCAAAUCAUGUUUUUGAGGACCUUCGGAAGCCGAAGGCCCCCAACAGUAGCCCCUCGCAAUAUUAAUUUGUUGGAAUGAUAAAUUCAUAUUGCGACAUGGACGAAGGCUUUAAGCCGAAGGUCCGAAAAAACACCUUCUCUUUGCUAGAAUAGCAACAGUCUUUGACAAGUGGGACCCUCCAGUUUUCAACGCACUAGGUGUAUAAAUAAAAGCUCACCACGAGUUUAUUUGGCACGCUCUCUUGCCAUCUGCUUUUACUCACCCAACUUUUAGCCUGCGCGCAACAACACUUGCUUGGCCUUUUAGAUUUUUAAGCUUCGGUUUCGAGAGCACUUUCUCAGCGUUUGCAAAGAUGUCUGAAGAUAAGAAAGUUGUUGGUGAUUCGAAGCUAAGCCUUUCUGAGGAGAUGCAUCUGGGCUUUCUUCAAUCAAUGUCAAAGACUAAUACGGAGAAGAUUACUAGGGAGAUUUUGGAGGGUUUAUCUGAAGAUACUGGUGACAGUGACAGUUAUGAUGUGGAUAGUGGUGGUGAAGACUCCGAAGAUCGACCUUGGCGACCAAGCCAUGCGAUUUUUGGUAAAUCCAGUAUUAAAGAAAAUCAUCUUGUCAAUAUGAGGGGCAGAUAUUUUCGGGACUUGUCCGUUGUGAGGGCUGACGAAGGAGAGAAGACUUGUCCGACUCCUGAGGAAAAUGAAGUCGUGGUAUUCCGAAGCUUCUUGAAGGCUGGACUACGAUUUCCCUUGAGCAGUUUUGUUGUGGAAAUACUGAAGAUAUUUGAAAUCUACCUUCACCAACUUACCCCCGAAGCAAUCAUAAGGAUGAGCAUCUUUGUGUGGGCCGUGAGGAGCCAAGGUUUGGAACCUAAUGCGAAAAGUUUCUGCAACAUACAUGAGUUAUUGUACGAGACAAAACCCUGGGGUAAAGAACAGUAUCACAACAAUUUUGGCUGCUAUAGCUUCGGCGCCCGGUCUGGGUCAAGCUGCCCCGUGCCAACCUUUCGAAAGAGGUGGCCCGGCGACUGGAUGACGGAAUGGUUUUACGUGAAGAAUGACUUGAAAUCACGGGAAGAUAUUAAAAGUAUCAUUAUGCGUCCUAUCUAGCAACGCUUCGGCCUGUGGAGGCCGAAGGUGGAAAUGAAUGAAGCAGCCGAAGAAUGCCAGAGAGCCUUUGGUGUUGUUUGCUCUUUUAUUGGGACAAGGGUUUUGGUCCAAGAACACAUUGCCUUCAGAGUAUGGCCACUUGUGGAAAAAUGGGAUAUGCCGAAGGAGACCAUUAAAGAAACUGACGAAGGUGGACUAGUCAGGCUGAAAUACACAUUUAAAUACGGAGAUAAAUUCGUUGAGCCAGAUGAUGACUGGUUGAAAAGUAUUGAGGCCAUCAGUGAUGAAUUACUUGGUGUAUACUCAAAGGCCGAAGAUACUGCAUUAUCGGCGGCCUUCGGAGGCCGAAAGAGGAAGAGGCUCAACCGAGUAUUUGAUGCAAUUGGGUUUGUCUACCCCGACUACCGUUAUCCAGCGCAGGGUCAAAAAAGAAAGAAUACAUCUUCUGCGAAGGAAACUGCUUCAGCCGCUCCUAGUGAGCCGGCGCCGAAGAGGAAAAGGGUAAAGGUUCUCACACACUGGCCACGUUAUAUUGAACCGGCCACAGUGCCUGCGUUUGUCGGUGAGACCUCUUCGGCCACCGAAGCUAAAGAGCCAACUCCCCUGCUAAAUUUUGAAGUGCUGGCCGAAGUGCCAGCGACUGAAAAAAUAGAAGAACCGAGGGCUGAAGAAAUAAAGACAUCAGAAGUCUUGAGUCCUUCGGCAAAAACUGAGGCAACAGAAAGCCAUAAGGGUCCAGCAGUGACCCCUAAAAGAAAAAGGAUGGUUAAUGUGCUAGAUGUUUUAGAGACAAUUAAAUCUUCAAGCACAACUCCAAAGAAAAUUGUUAAAACUUCCGAAGUGCAUACUGAAGCCUUUGUCGCCGAAGCUUCAAUGCAACAGUCUGAAACUGAAGCCGGGCCUUCAGAGCCCGCCAAGGUGAAAUCCUUGGAAGCCGAAAAAACAGAAAUAGCAGAACAUAUUCUGGCUGAAGAAACUGGCACUGCUGCCCCCGAAGCAUCUUCCAAAGUACUUGAUUAUAUUGUACGACAUGCUUCGGGGAAGAGAUUAUCUGAAGAAGAGAUUUUUGAAGCUAAUCACUAUGCCCGAGAACUGAAGUAUCCGAAGGGGGCCUUAGUAUUCAAUGGCACAGACGAAGAUGACUUCUUAUACUGCCUCCCAGACAACAAAGAAUUAUCUGUCUGCCGGGAGAUGGCUAGAAGUAUGGGGUUUCCGAAGCUUGAAGCUGGCCUAUGCGCUAUGACGAAGGACGAUCUUGCGGAUAGCCUUGCAUAUAAUAGUCUGAAGGUAUGAAAAUUGUAUAUUUGGAAAUUUAUAAUUUUUGAAUCAUUCUUUUAUUCUUAUACUAAUUCUUUUCAUAUAGGGUUUAAUACUGAGCAACGCUUUGAGAGCGCAAAAGAAUGCCGAAGACGAGAGCUAUAAUAUUGCUUUCAACAACCUACGAACAGAGGUUAUUAAGCUGAGGAACGAAGCUUUGGAAAAAGAUAAAAUUCUGCUUACAUUGGUGGAUAAAAUAAAGGAAGACGAAGCUACUUCUAAGGCUGAAGCUGAAACCCAAAAACUCGAAAUUGAGGAUCUUCGGAAAUAGCUAGCCAGAGCUAAAGAAGAACGCAUACUUGAAGAGACGAAACGAGAACUUAGUGAUCAAUGGGCAAAUCAUUUAGAAAGAAAUGUUGAAGAGCUUCGUGCAUCCAAGAAAAGGUGCUAUGACAAAUCCAUAGAAUGUGCUAAGAAAAUAAAAUCCAGCUUCGCUAGCGUUGGCGCAUUCUCUAGCGAAGAAAACUUCACAAGGGGUAACCCAGAAGGCCCGAUUGAAUGGAUCAGUCACGAAGCUGAGGCCUUCGAGGAAAUCUUGAAUAGCCGCGGAGACAUAUGUGCUUUUUCGGGCGCCAGGGGGAUUGCUACUGUUUUGGAGAGGAAAGGCUGUGAGCAUGUGAAAUCUUUAGCACAAUCCGAAACUGCCUUGUCCUCCGAAGAUAUAAAAGACCCCUCGGCCGAAGCAAGCCUGGUCGGUGGAAAAAUUUUCACCGACAUCUGGGACAAUGGCGGCCGAGAAUUGGCCCAAAAAAUUAUUCAAAAAAGCGAAAAAGGCAUCCAUGAUGCUACAAAGGUAGCAGAGGCUGCUGAGAAAAGCGCAGAGCCCGAAGGGCAAAUAGGUAUUAAUUAGUGAUUUCUGGCUCUUCGUUGUAACUUUUUGAUUUCGAACUUGUUCAUGGUUUGUAAUAGUAAUAUAUUCGUAUCUUCUCUUCCCUCAGAACCUGCUGAGCUAUCUCCAGGCCCCCACACGAAGGGGGAUGACGAAAUUAGACAAAUGGCCGAAGCCAUCAUGGAUAGAGUUGUUGAUCAGCUUCUAAACGAAGCUGCAGAAGUAGUCUUAAACGAAGAUUAGAUGUUGUUGUAAAAACAUUUAGAUUGUAAUGCUUGUUGAGAAUCAUGUGUAACAUUGUGUAACUUUGGAUGUAGCAUAUUAGCUGUUUAUAAUUCUAUUUUUUAC
rnacentral:lncRNA from 1 species